UACGUAGGCGGAAAAUUAAGUCAGUAGUGAAAUCCUGCAGCUUAACUGUAGAACUGUUAUUGAUGCUGGUUUUCUUGAAUAUAGUUGAGGUAGGCGGAAUGUGUAAUGUAGCGGUGAAAUGCUUAGAUAUUACACAGAACACCGAUUGCGAAGGCAGCUUACUAAGCUAUGAUUGACGCUGAGGUACGAAAGCGUGGGAAGCGAACAGGAUUAGAUACCCUGGUAGUCC
rnacentral:rRNA from 1 species